CUUUGUGAAUUUGUGUGUGUGUAGGUGUUGUGUGUGUGUGUGUAUGUGUGUGUGGGAAUAUCACAACAUUCGAAUUGCUUUGCCUAUUGACCUGCUCUCAACACAAAUAAUUGCCACAGGGUAUCUAUAUAUAUUUAAGAACACUUUUUCAGCUUGAGUUAAGCAAAGAGUCCAGUUGGAAAAUCAUAAAAGAAAAU